CCGAACCUAUGGGGGGCAGCAGUGGGGAAUAUUGCACAAUGGGGGAAACCCUGAUGCAGCGACGCCGCGUGAGUGAAGAAGUAUUUCGGUACGUAAAGCUCUAUCAGCAGGGAAGAAAAAAAGUCCUUUGGACUUUGGACGGUACCUGACUAAGAAGCCCCGGCUAACUACGUGCCAGCAGCCGCGGUAAUACGUUGGGGGCAAGCGUUAUCCGGAUUUACUGGGUGUAAAGGGAGCGUAGACGGCAGCGAAAGUCUGGAGUGAAAUGCCAGGGCCCAACCCCGGAACUGCUU
rnacentral:rRNA from 1 species